rnacentral:rRNA from 1 species
UACGUAGGGGGCAAGCGUUGUCCGGAUUUAUUGGGCGUAAAGAGCUCGUAGGCGGCUUGUCGCGUCGACUGUGAAAACCGCAGCUCAACUGCGGGCCUGCAGUCGAUACGGGCAGGCUAGAGUUCGGAUGAGGGGAGACGUGGAAUUCCGGAUGUGAGCGGUGAAAGUGACGCAGAGUAAUCAGGAGGAACACCGGUGGCGAAGGCGGGUCUCUGGGCCGGUAACUGACGCUGGAGGAGCGGAAAGCAUGGGGAGCGAACAGG